rnacentral:sRNA from 12 species
GUAAGGAAGAGCCAUUAUGUGCGAAAUGCAUAAUUAAAAAUCGGUUCCGAUGAUCUGCCGUUUGACAAAUGUGAGGGGCGAUAGAUUUU